UACGUAGGUCCCGAGCGUUGUCCGGAUUUAUUGGGUUUAAAGGGUGCGUAGGCGGUCUUUUAAGUCUGAUGUGAAAGCCUUCGGCUUAACCGGAGUAGUGCAUUGGAAACUGGGAGACUUGAGUGCAGAAGAGGAGAGUGGAACUCCAUGUGUAGCGGUGAAAUGCGUAGAUAUAUGGAAGAACACCAGUGGCGAAAGCGGCUCUCUGGUCUGUAACUGACGCUGAGGUUCGAAAGCGUGGGUAGCAAACAGG
rnacentral:rRNA from 1 species